UGUGGCAUAACUUUAUUCAUAUAGAUUAUUUCUCCAACAUAUCUUUAUAUAUUGCUUUCUUUAGUUCAAAUUGGAAUCUCAGAUAAGCAUCUGGUACCCUCUCCUCUCAGUUCCAUGCCUCUGGUCGACAUGUGUACUUCAGAAUUAUUCCUGACUGUCAGAUGUAUAGCAGAACUUUCACAUAACUUCUUGAUAAAACUGCUGUCUUUCUCCCUUUUCGACACUGCAAACAAAAAAUCGAACAGGCAAUUAAAGAAGGGCCGGGUUGCAACCACAUGUUCCCCGUACAAACGGAUCGGAACUAAGAGCUCUUUCCAGGAUCUGGCACUGGAUUUAUACAUCAGAUGCGUCACAAAAUAUAAACAUGUUAUUAAAUAUACUAGAAUAUGAAAUAAAAAAAAAUAUAUAAAUCGAAAAUGUUGAAUUAUCAUUUAUGUCUACGAAACCACAAGAUCC
rnacentral:lncRNA from 1 species